rnacentral:rRNA from 1 species
GACGAACGCUGGCGGCGUGCUUAACACAUGCAAGUCGAACGGAAAGGCCCUGCUUUUGUGGGGUGCUCGAGUGGCGAACGGGUGAGUAACACGUGAGUAACCUGCCCUUGACUUUGGGAUAACUUCAGGAAACUGGGGCUAAUACCGGAUAGGAGCUCCUGCUGCAUGGUGGGGGUUGGAAAGUUUCGGCGGUUGGGGAUGGACUCGCGGCUUAUCAGCUUGUUGGUGGGGUAGUGGCUUACCAAGGCUUUGACGGGUAGCCGGCCUGAGAGGGUGACCGGCCACAUUGGGACUGAGAUACGGCCCAGACUCCUACGGGAGGCAGCAGUGGGGAAUAUUGCACAAUGGGCGGAAGCCGGAUGCAGCAACGCCGCGUGCGGGAUGACGGCCUUCGGGUGGUAAACCGUUUUCGCCUGUGACGAAGCGUGAGUGACGGUAAUGGGUAAAGAAGCACCGGCUAACUACGUG